rnacentral:rRNA from 1 species
AGUGAACGCUGGCGGUAGGCCUAAUACAUGCAAGUCGAACGGCAGCACAGUAAGAUUUCGCCUCUACGGGUGGCGACUGACGGACGGGUGAGGCAUACAUCGGAUUCUUCUUUUUCGGGGGGGACAACGUAGGGCAACUGAUGCUACCACCGCAUAUGUCCUACGGCAUAAAUCAAUAGAGCUUGGCACUUUUCGCGUCUGAAUUAGCUGAAUCCGUGUCGGAUUAGCUAGUUGGUAAGGUAACGGCUCACCAAGGCAACGAUGCGUAGCUGAUCUGAGAGGAUGAUCAGCCACACUGGAACUGAGACACGGUCCAGACUCCUACGGGAGGCAGCAGUAGGGAAUCUUCCGCAAUGGGCGAAAGCCUGAUGCAGCAAUGCCGCGUGAGUGAUGAAGGCCUUCGGAUUGUAAAGCCCUUUUGUUGGGAAAGAAAAGCAGCAGAUUAAUCCACCGCUGUUCUGACGGUACCCAAACAGUAAGCACCGGCUAACUUCGUG